rnacentral:rRNA from 1 species
AACGAACGCUGGCGGCAUGCCUAACACAUGCAAGUCGAACGAAGGCUUCGGCCUUAGUGGCGCACGGGUGCGUAACGCGUGGGAAUCUGCCCUUUGCUUCGGAAUAACAGUUAGAAAUGACUGCUAAUACCGGAUGAUGUCGCUAGACCAAAGAUUUAUCGGCAAAGGAUGAGCCCGCGUAGGAUUAGCUAGUUGGUGGGGUAAAGGCCUACCAAGGCGACGAUCCUUAGCUGGUCUGAGAGGAUGAUCAGCCACACUGGGACUGAGACACGGCCCAGACUCCUACGGGAGGCAGCAGUGGGGAAUAUUGGACAAUGGGCGAAAGCCUGAUCCAGCAAUGCCGCGUGAGUGAUGAAGGCCUUAGGGUUGUAAAGCUCUUUUACCCGGGAUGAUAAUGACAGUACCGGGAGAAUAAGCUCCGGCUAACUCCGU